rnacentral:lncRNA from 1 species
AGAGAAACAUACUAAUACUAGGAAAGAGUCAUGGAGGCUUAAUAGCUUAGGACAGUUUGUAGUGGCAGGUGUAAGCAGUAAAGGAGGAGUGUUAUAUUUACUCAUAUAAAAGAUUCUAGUGAGUGCCACAAAAUCUGACCUAGAGCAUCAGAGCAGAAAGUAGGUUAUUAUUGUUUUAAUCUUGGCACACCUAAUAUUUUUAAAAAUACAUUUCUGCCUUGAGCUUUUCUUGUCUUCAGAUUUUCACAAUCAUUUCAUUGUUUCUCCUAAAACCAGAAACACAGACAAAUUACUGAUUAGUCUGAGCAGGAAAAAACUAACAAAUAUUGUGGGAAUUGUUUAGAAUACACCUGGAUCGAACCUUUCUCAGACACUGAAAUUUCUCCAGAUAAUGUUUAUGCUAGAUUAAAGGAUUCAAAACUAUUUCAGGGUGGGGUUGGAGAAGUGGAAGCAGCUGACUCUUGUUCUUACAUCUGGGAAGCCUGUUGUCCUCACAAUAACCACAGGUGGUCCCAUUCAGGACAAAUGAAUUGAUUUGACUGAUAUUAGGGCCUUAUAUUGAUAGGGUCAGUUCCUAAACAGAAGUCCAUGUCUUACUCUCCUUAGGCUGAUGAGGGCUUUUAGUAAAUACUUCUUUAGUUCUAACUCUUUUGUUGGACCCUUGAGGUUUGUUGUCUUUGAGUCCUUUCUUAUCAAGGUGGAAAACUUCUCCAAACCAUACUGCAUUGCAGUGGUAGCUGGAAAUUCAAAGGUGGAAAACUCCUGUAAGACAGUAAGUUCAGUUUUUGCAGAGCAAGUCAGAAUGGGAACCUUGCUGCCCUGAAGAUGUUUUGUGCUGCUGAAGUACUGCUAAAUACAUCUGUAUUUUUUUUAUCUUGCUGCUUAUGUAGAUUCAUAAUGUUUUCAGUAUUUACACUUUGAUAUGCAUACUGACAGAAAAUAACUAAAAUACUUCAGAGGGUCCUUCAAUCAUAAUUUUUUCACCAUAAAAAUGAAGUAUAUGGAAAAUUAAGAGUUUGACAGAAGAACUGCUUCUGAAGUUUGGUUUUCUGUAGAUGAGAAGCGCAGAAUACUGAUAUAGCUGACUUGUGGCAUGCAUUCCAAAAUAUUUGCGAUUGUUUACAACGUCUGGUAACUUUUGUGACAAGAUCAUCUGCCUUCUCUUAUGUCCCUGUUUUCACUAUUGUUGCCCUGUCCAAUCCACCUCUGAAAGAGAACAACUGAAAAAAAGUACACCAAGAAAUCGUAACUGAAGUGAUGAAAUUACUGGAUGUAGAUAACUGACCUAGUUCUGACUCUGAUGCCAGAUCAUGCACAUGGCUAAUCAUGAGAAGCUACAUCUUCUCUGAGAUAUAAU